GUUACCCUACGGGAGGCAGCAGUAGGGAAUCUUCCACAAUGGGCGAAAGCCUGAUGGAGCAACGCCGCGUGGGUGAAGAAGGUCUUCGGAUCGUAAAACCCUGUUGUUAGAGAAGAAAGUGCGUGAGAGUAACUGUUCACGUUUCGACGGUAUCUAACCAGAAAGCCACGGCUAACUACGUGCCAGCAGCCGCGGUAAUACGUAGGUGGCAAGCGUUAUCCGGAUUUAUUGGGCGUAAAGGGAACGCAGGCGGUCUUUUAAGGCUGAUGUGGACGCCUUCGGC
rnacentral:rRNA from 1 species